CGUACACUCCUACGGGAGGCAGCAGUGGGGAAUAUUGCACAAUGGGCGCAAGCCUGAUGCAGCCAUGCCGCGUGUGUGAAGAAGGCCUUCGGGUUGUAAAGCACUUUCAGCGGGGAGGAAGGCGAUACGGUUAAUAACCGUGUUGAUUGACGUUACCCGCAGAAGAAGCACCGGCUAACUCCGUGCCAGCAGCCGCGGUAAUACGGAGGGUGCAAGCGUUAAUCGGAAUUACUGGGCGUAAAGCGCACGCAGGCGGUCUGUCAAGUCGGAUGUGAAAUCCCCGGGCUCAACCUGGGAACUGCAUUCGAAACUGGCAGGCUUGAGUCUUGUAGAGGGGGGUAGAAUUCCAGGUGUAGCGGUGAAAUGCGUAGAGAUCUGGAGGAAUACCGGUGGCGAAGGCGGCCCCCUGGACAAAGACUGACGCUCAGGUGCGAAAGCGUGGGGAGCAAACAGGAUUAGAAACCCGUGUAGUCCCA
rnacentral:rRNA from 1 species